UACGUAGGGUGCAAGCGUUGUCCGGAAUUAUUGGGCGUAAAGAGCUCGUAGGCGGUUUGUCGCGUCUGCUGUGAAAACUCGGGGCUUAACCCUGGGCUUGCAGUGGGUACGGGCAGACUAGAGUGCGGUAGGGGAGACUGGAACUUCUGGUGUAGCGGUGAAAUGCGCAGAUAUCAGAAAGAACACCGGUGGCGAAGGCGGGUCUCUGGGCCGUAACUGACGCUGAGGAGCGAAAGCGUGGGUAGCGAACAGG
rnacentral:rRNA from 1 species